CCUACGGGUGGCAGCAGUGGGGAAUAUUGCACAAUGGGGGAAACCCUGAUGCAGCGACGCCGCGUGAGUGAUGAAGGAUUUCGGUGUGUAAAGCCCUAUCUGCAGGGAAGAAGAAAGACGGUACCUGACUAAGAUGCCCCGGCUAACUACGUGCCAGCAGCCGCGGUAAUACGUAGGGGGCAAGCUUUAUCCGGAUUUACUGGGUGUAAAGGGAGCGUAGACGGCUGUGCAAGUCUGAAGUGAAAGCCCAGGGCUCAACCCUGGGACUGCAUUUGAAACUGUGGAGCUAGAGUGCUGGAGAGGCAGGUGGAAUUCCUAGUGUAGCGGUGAAAUGCGUAGAUAUUAGGAGGAACACCAGUGGUGAAGGCGGCUUGCUGGACAGUAACUGACGUUGAGGCUCGAAAGCGUGGGGAGCAAACAGGAUUAGAUACCCUGGUAGUC
rnacentral:rRNA from 1 species